UACGGAGGGUGCAAGCGUUAAUCGGAAUUACUGGGCGUAAAGCGUGCGCAGGCGGUUUGUUAAGUCUGCUGUGAAAUCCCCGAGCUCAACUUGGAAAUUGCAGUGGAUACUGGCAGGCUGGAGUAUGGUAGAGGAAGGUGGAAUUCCCGGUGUAGCAGUGAAAUGCGUAGAGAUCGGGAGGAAAACCAGUGGCGAAGGCGGCCUUCUGGACCAAUACUGACGCUCAUGCACGAAAGCGUGGGGAGCAAACAGG
rnacentral:rRNA from 1 species